UUGAGCCGGAUGUGUUGGAAGGCACAAGUCCGGUUCUGAGGAGGGAAGGGGGCCGCAAGGCUCCUGACCUAUCCGAC
rnacentral:ncRNA from 1 species